CUGUAGCUGCCUUCGUGCACAUCAGAAGAAGGCAUUAGAUCCUAUCACAGAUGGUAGUGACACCAUGUGGUUGCUGGGAAUUGAACUCAAGACCUCUGGAAGGAGCAGUCAGUGCUCUCAACCUCCGAGCCAUCUCUCCAGCCCCUGAAACUUUUUAAAAGGCUAUUGACACUUCCAAAAGCGUGCUGGCACUGUCUCAGAAGGGACUCCAGAGGUCGGCGCCAGAAUUUACCUGGAUCCCUGUGCAGGAGUAACCGGCCAUAAUCAAAGCCAGCUGUGGGGCUCAUAGUUGUAACCCCAGCACUUGGGAAACUGAGGCGGAAAUAUUGGUUGGAGUGCAAGGACAACCUACUCUCAAAAUACAGCAACAGAACAGCACCGAAGAGUAAUGACUGGAGGGGCUGUCGGCUGAUUGGGAAGGAAACAGUUAAUCUGUUCCAACGGCUCUCUUGUUGGAAAGUUGUCAUCAA
ensembl:lncRNA